UACGUAGGGUGCAAGCGUUAAUCGGAAUUACUGGGCGUAAAGCGUGCGCAGGCGGUUUUGUAAGUCUGUCGUGAAAUCCCCGGGCUCAACCUGGGAAUUGCGAUGGAGACUGCAAGGCUAGAAUCUGGCAGAGGGGGGUAGAAUUCCACGUGUAGCAGUGAAAUGCGUAGAGAUGUGGAGGAAUACCGAUGGCGAGGGCAGCCCCCUGGGUCAAGACUGACGCUCAUGCACGAAAGCGUGGGGAGCAAACAGG
rnacentral:rRNA from 1 species